UUCUUCAAAACAAGAAAAAUUGGAAGGAGGACUGCUGCCACCUAGUUUCUCUCUCUAACUGCAAAUUCUUCUCAAUCGUUUCGGCCUUCCUGAUUUCUUUCUUUUCUGUGUCCGCCUCUGUUUCUUCCCUCUUCGGAAGAAUAGGGAAAAGAAUGGAAAAUAGAGAAAGUGAACGGAAUGGAGAGCACAGCGGCGUGGCAAGGAGUAACCCUUUGUGGAAUUGUUUCUUGGAUUUUGAUUUCUUCAUAUUUCAAUCUGACCCAGAAG
rnacentral:lncRNA from 1 species